UCGCGGCGGCGUGCUAACACAUGCAGUCGAACGCGAAAGUCCCGCAAGGGAUUAGUAGAGUGGCAAACGGGUGAGUAACACGUGGGUGACCUGCCUUCGAGUGGGGGAUAACGUCCCGAAAGGGACGCUAAUACCGAUAACAUCCUGCUUUUUAAGAGGUGGAGAUCAAAGCCGGGGAUCGCAAGACCUGGCGCUUGAAGAGGGGCCCGCGUCCGAUUAGCUAGUUGGUGGGGUAACGGCCCACCAAGGCUAUGACGGGUAGCUGGUCUGAGAGGACGACCAGUCACACUGGAACUGAGACACGGUCCAGACACCUACGGGUGGCAGCAGUCGAGAAUUUUUCUCAAUGGGGGAAACCCUGAAGGAGCGACGCCGCGUGGAGGAUGAAGGCUUUCGGGUUGUAAACUCCUGUCAUUUGAGAACAAGUGCCAACAAGUAACUACUGUUGGCUUGAUAGUAUCAGAAGAGGAAGGGACGGCUAACUCUGUGCCAGCAGCCGCGGUAAUACAGAGGUCCCAAGCGUUGUUCGGAUUCAUUGGGCGUAAAGGGUGCGUAGGUGGCGCCGUAAGUCGGGUGUGAAAUUUCGGAGCUUAACUCCGAAACUGCAUUCGAUACUGCGGUGCUUGAGGACUGGAGAGGAGACUGGAAUUCAUGGUGUACAGUGAAAAU
rnacentral:rRNA from 1 species